GACGAACGCUGGCGGCGUGCUUAACACAUGCAAGUCGAACGGAAAGGCCCUGCUUUUGUGGGGUGCUCGAGUGGCGAACGGGUGAGUAACACGUGAGUAACCUGCCCUUGACUUUGGGAUAACUUCAGGAAACUGGGGCUAAUACCGGAUAGGAGCUCCUGCUGCAUGGUGGGGGUUGGAAAGUUUCGGCGGUUGGGGAUGGACUCGCGGCUUAUCAGCUUGUUGGUGGGGUAGUGGCUUACCAAGGCUUUGACGGGUAGCCGGCCUGAGAGGGUGACCGGACAGUGUGGGCAAGAUAAAGGGCCCAGACCCAGCGGGGGGGCAGAAGGGGGAAAUUUGGAAAAUGGGGGGGAGGUGUGAGCCAGCACCCCCGGGUGGGGGAGGGGGGCUUUGGGUUGGAAACCCGCUUUCGCCGGGGACGAAGGUGGGGGGAGGGUAAGGGAAAAAGAGGCCCGGGCAAACUAGGUC
rnacentral:rRNA from 1 species